rnacentral:lncRNA from 1 species
AUACACACACACAUAUAUAUAUAUAUAUAUAUAGUUUGUGUGUGUAUACAUACAUAUAUAUAUAUGUGUAUACACACACACAUAGAUAUAUACAGUAUCCAUAAUAGUUCUUUGAGUACCAUCAUUAUUAGCCUAUUUAAUAAAGGAGUAACUGAACUAGAGAAUUUAAAUUAUUUGUCUAAGAUCACACUGUCAGAAUUGGAAUGUGACUGAAGCAGGGUGACCUUAAAAUUUUAGGCUAUGUUCCCUCUGCCUCACUCCACACUGAUACUACCUUUCUGUCUGCUGCACUAGGUUGUCUCAAGUUCAUGUGGGAAAAUACUACAUGAAAUAUUUUUACUUUACAGGAUGGAAAUCUGGUUAAGGUAAAUGUGGGAGCUGCCAAACGCAAUCUAUAUAAAGAGAAGAAAAGAAUUUGAUGCUGGCCCUGAAGGGGGAUGGAGGUAGGACAUACACCUUUUGUUUUUCCAACAGUAAAUUUGUUUCUAUAAAAGCAGAGCAGAGAACUGAGACAAUCAUCCCUGUCCAAUAUCCAGUGCCCUUUAUCAACAGUGAUGAAGUCUUCAGUUGCCUGAUACCUGGAGGUAGGCUGUGCUACAAGCAGGGUAAGAAAC